UCAAUACUGGAGGAGUGUUACUGCUGUAAUUGAUUCCACUGCCACAGUAGCAUCACCAGUACUGUUAGACCAGCAGCUGACAGAAACCUUAAUGAAACAGCAACGGCACCUCUUAACUGGACCUGCUGCUGCGACACAGUUUCAUAUGCUGUGUUAGUAUCACUGUGUUAGUAUCACUGUGUUAGUUUCACCCCCUGUCAUAAAGCCACGUCAGAUUAAGACAGUGGCAAUGUAUCUGCCAGACUGAGCGAUUUAGGUUUGGUUAGUGUUCUAAGUAGACACGCAGCACAGUCUGUGUGUUAAGAUAUGGAGAAAGAGCAUGCAGAGUGUAUGUGUGUUAAGAGGUGUGUGUUGUGAAGCAGAAACAGUAAACAGGGAGUGUGUGUGUGACUGAAAUAGAGAAAAAGCACAUGGAGAGUGUGUAAAGAAGCGGGAGAGAGAGUGCUAGUAGCAGCCGUAGGGUUCGGCUAGUUGCCGGGAAAUCCUCUCGGAGUCCUCUCGGCCCUGUCCAUAUGCUCGGCAAAGGUGCUGUGACGUGGCAAAGAGUGGUCCUCGUUCUCGGUAGUGGCGGGCAGAAUUUCCCCCACAGCACCAGGCUAGUGCCAGGCUCGCCCGCUCUUAGCUUGGCACAGGGGAAUAAUGAAAGCGAGUGGCCCAGGCUGUAGCCUGUGUGAAGGGUGUACUAGAAGCUAGCAGACGUCUCCUCAGAGGGGGAGCUCAGGGAUGUAGGGGACCAUGGUUCCAGACACAUACCGGCUGGUUGUAGUGCUGGUCAAGCAUGAACAGAAAGGAGAAUUUACUUUUUAUUGUUACGCUUCAACAGAUCAGGAGAAUUUGUCUUUUUGCUUUCUGUUGGUGUUUGUUCUUCGAAUCUAUGUAUUUUACUGUAAGUUAAGGUUAGUUGAUUUUUCUUUGUAAGAGUGUGCAUUGUCUUUGAAUAAUGCAUUUUUAUAUGUGUUGUUGCAUCAUAUCAACGAGUAUCACUGAUAAAUGUUUAGAUAUAGCUGAGAAUGGGCAACAAGGCCUAAUAUAAUGGUCCUUUGAUAUUAUUCAAAAGGCAUAUUUAAAAUCAUAUGAGCUUAAAUCAUUAGCGUUUAAUCAGAUAAAAUAACAAUGUUACCUUCAUUGUAAAAACCUAACUCAUGUCUAUCCAUUUCAAUGUAAUACUGUAGAAUUUAACAUGCAACUUAAUUCAAAAAGGCUGCAUAGGUCAUUUUUCUAUUUGAAUUUCCUGUCAACCGUUCUGCUCAAGGUCAAGAUAAAUUUACUUUGAACCUACCCCUGAUAUGUUAUAGCCCUUUUUAUGUUGAGGAGCUCUGACCUUUGCUAUAGUGGUGUUGUUGUUAUACUUAGACUGUACUGUCCACACAAUAUCGGCUUCCCGAAGGUCCUUGAGGAGGGUCAUGUCUAGAUGGUAUACAGCUUUUGUCAUUUUAGCUAACCCUUUUCCUAACCUUAACCUAAUUCUCCUAACCUGCUACGUUAAUUCUCCCGACCUGCUGCGUAAGUUCUCCUAACCUGCUACGAAAAAUACAUUUUGACAAAAGCUUUAUCUCUCCUGGACAAAACACAUAAGGAGUAGUCACUACAAUCUGGGUGUGUCCCGCUUCUGAAUGUUGUCCAUUUUGAGAUCUGAUAUCGGAUGGGAUCCAUUUUGUUUUGCAAGCUCUCAAGCAGAAUCUCUCUCUCUCUCCCUCCCUCCCUGCCUCUCUCCCUCUUUCUCCCUUUCUCUUUCAUUCUCCUCUCAGAAUCCGGUGAGGCACAGCAAGGUGAGUUUAGCUCUGAUGAAAUGUCAUAUCUAUUUGUCUUGCUCUUACAUGUUGAAGGCCAUAUACUGUACAUUCGGUCACUGUAUAUUUGUGUGUUUAUUAUGUUUAAUUUCACAUAAAUAUAUGUCAUUUGUUAAGUUAUGUAUUAGAGUCCCUCCCUAUUAGCUUUUGAUUAAAGUUUUUGCGUACGAAGGUGACUAAACACAGCGAGAACCAGCCAAAUGCAACGUAAGUUGGAUGAUAAAAGGACAAUAAUCUAACAUAUAUUAUUAUCGUAAUAGCGUAAGUACUUACAUAUGAUAUAGAUAUAACAAAAAAUGACUUGUCUUGAAUAUUCCCCUGCAAACAAAUGGUCAAAUAGUUCAAAGUAUUUGAAUGACUAUACUCUGAAGUACUCUAUGCAUGAACGCAAUUUAUAAGCUCAUAUUGAAUCAUGAAUCUUCAUGAAUCUUGAAUCUUGUAAGUUAUUCCAAAAUACCUUGACCUUGACCUUUCAUUGGAAACAUCAAGUUUAUGAAAGCAUCUCUGUCUGAAGAAAGCAUCAACACAUGGUUUGAUAAUCACAUAGCUCAUUGCUUAAUGACUGAAUUUCACAGAUCAAUAAAUUCAGAUAUAAAGAUGUAGAUGUUAAAGUGUUAAAUGUUUUUGAUAAAAUGCUAAUACAUUUUGUAGUAGUAAGUGAAUAAGUAUAAUUUGCAGCAUUGCUUACCAUAUUAAAUGAUACUGUGCAGUUCAUUUUCAUAAAUCCAAUGAUUAUUUCUACUUGUAAAUAUUGUAUUUUUUUUAAAAGGAGUGUUACUCGUUGCUUUGCAGGCGCAUCGGAAAUGUGAAACAGGUUGGCAUGAAAAUAAACGAGUCCUACUUUGCCUGAAGGGUGCGCAGGAGCUUCUUUCAUUUGAAUAAAUGUUUUAUUGGAAAAUAUGCUAUUUUGAAAAUGUGUUUUUCAAAAUCCCUGUUCAAUAUAAUAAGUGUAAAUAAUUUGUUCUCAUCCUUUUUGCAAUUCCAAUCAUGGGAAUAUGCUCAGCCUUUUUGUUGGCAGGCAAAUAAAUAAUGACUUACAAUUUAGCUUUAAAAAAUAUAUAUAAAUCAUAAUGUGUUAUUAUUACACAAUGAUGAAGCGGAUUUGAAUUGUUCAUGUGCUUGGCAAAUUUAAACAGAUUAUUUUGUAUAACCCAAUUUAAGUUUGGAGUAAUUUCUUCUAACCCGAUUGAUAUUCACUCCUAUUUUGUGAUAUCAAUUACUAUCUAAUCAAUAUAUUUACAAUUAUGUAUUCAUUCCGUAUUAAUCAUAUAGUAAAUCUAAGCUAUUUGUGUUAAAAAGUGACGCAUUUUGAUAUUGAGUCAGUACAACAUAUUUUAUUAUUAUUAUAUAUACUGUAUUGAUAUUUUUUCCAAUUACCUCUGGCUCUUCAUUAUAAAUGUAUUCGAAAUUGUAUUGUCAUUAGAAAGAUAUUAUCACAAAUUUUCAAUUCAAAUAUAUGGAUACUAUACUUUUAUAAUGUUAUAUUGGACUGUGAACACAUUUUAAAAAUACAAAAAUAUAUGUGACUAAAAGUUAACCCAAAAUGAUAAUACCACAUUCUUGUUAGUGAUACAAAAUCAAAAGAUUUAGUAACAGUGUUUUUCAUGCCUCGUUUGUCAAAAUUCCAGAAGUCAUUGAAUUAGUUGUGAAAAAUAGAUUUUUUUAAAGUUACACUUCAGGGGUGUCGGUGAAAGGAAAUAUUUCACAAUUACACUUUUCUUUAACGUUGUAUAAUAUUCAACUGUUAACAUGUAAAGCACAUACCCUUCUCAUUUUUAAACAUCACCAUCACCAUCUUUUUCUCAGACCCAUAAUAUUCACAUUUCGUAUAUGUUUUUCAGCAGAAAAUGUUAUCAUGACGUUAUGAGUGAUUGCAUAGUAUAGACACCCAAUGAAAUGAAACAAUGUCCGUUUAGUUUCAAGAAUUUUUAUUUAAGCCUUCAUUUUGACAGAGAGUAAUGCUGAGACCAAAGUCUAUUUUACAGAUGAGCCCUGUAUACACAUCAAUAUUCAUAUCAAUACAUGAAAGCAAAACAAAAUCAUAGAAAACAAACAUAUUAUUCAGUAAAAAAGGUCCUCAAAUCAGCCUUUCGAGAGGCACCAAUUCAUACAGCUUUAGAGAGCCUUGGAGAUGAUAUUCCUACAAGCAAAGUACCCCCCCCCCAAAAAAAAAAAUCUGAUUUAGUUAAUUCAGUGAAGAUAGAAGGGAUCUUUAGAGUUAGCCAUCCCUGAGACCCGGUCUAGUAUCUUGUACAUCUGUAAUGAAUAUGUAGGUUUACUCUGUCAGGAGAUAUAGGGUUAAGUCAGCUUUCACUUGUGCACAUAGACACAAUUCAUUUGUCACCCACUCAAUACAUAUGUGUUAAUUGAAGACAGAAUGUGUGGGGGAAAAAAGCAUGGGCUGUUGAAGGAGUGUAUCAUAUCGUGGUAGUUCUAUCCAGGAUAUCAACACUGGAUGUCUUCUGUCCACCAUUUUGUGAUCAGAACUUUAUCUAAAUGCCCCCAUUUUAUGUGCUGUGGACCACUUGCAGCGCAGUAAUACAGCGGUCAUUUUGAGGGACUACUCCUAUUGAAUCUAUUUUUGUAUAGGGUAUAAUGAUUCAUGAACAUUGUGAAAUGACACAUCACAGACACACAUUAGCUAAUCAUAAAUACUUUUGAAAGGACAUGCCCGAUUUCAAGUUAAAAAGUUUCCCAUAUUUUAAUUCUCAUGGCAAUACUACAAAAAAACUAUUUGUAAUUCAGAAUUGAUACUCAGUAAUUGCAGUGAUUGUUUUUUCAAGUUUGUAUAGCUAAGAACACGUAUUGCUCAUUUUUCUCAGGCAACGUUGCACCCACCCCUUCCACUCUCUUCUAGUGUGUGCGUUUGUGUGUUAUCCAAACACAUAGACAGAAAGGGAGAGUGGCGGUCACACUCUGCUGCCUGAAGUGACAGGCCAGAGGUCAGAGGUCAUGGGGUGUUAAUAACACGUGAUGUGUAGACCCUGUGAGUGACGUCCCUCAGGGUAUAACCCCCUAAUCGGCAUUAGUUAAUGUGUUAGUAAUCUUUACCUUCUUAAAGCAAACAGCACUAGGCCCUCAAUGGGUCUGCCUGGCCUCCCGUGUAACGCUUUUGACCCCAGGGUCAUGGCCUUUGUUCCCUGCUCUAUGGGGAGUGCCUUCAGAGGUCUCUGGUGUAAUAGAGAAGUUGUUUAGACACGUGCGAGGCUGGAGCAAGACCACCUCAUAGACUCACUCGGGCCCCUGUUCCUAGAGAGGGAGACCAAGUCUUUCAUCCCUGCGUACGUAGGGCCAGCCGGCAUUGUGGUUUGGUGUUAUCCUCCUAAAUAGCUUCAUUUAAAAUACCAAUUGUUUCUGUGUUAUGUGUCACUGUGUGUGUCUGGUAUCCUGAGGCAUUGUGGUUCCUGAUCCUGCACAGUCAGAAUUCUGGGUUUUACUCCUGUUGGUGACUAAUGGGUAAAGGAGUGUAGAUCAUGUCUGUCUAUGAGGAGCUACUGCCCACUGCAAUUUCAGAUUCAUCAGCCUUCCUUUCCUUUCUGUUUCCUGUGCUUCUAGACACUAAAGAAAAACAAACGGGCUCCUAAUUAUUUCUUGACUCCCCUCAUGUGACCUACAUGGAAUAUCAAGCGUUAGGUGUGACAGUUUUGAAAAAUGGGUGUACAGUGACUGUUACUCUGUGACUCCUCUUAUGUAUAAAAUUAUGGAGCAUAAAAAGUUUACGAGUGAGGGGAAAAAAAUACAUUUCAAUGAGAUAAAUGAGAGAAUGCCAUGAUUAUACCUUUUGCAUAGAUUCUUUAUGGCAUUUAGUUUGAACUUUCCUUGGCCGACACUUUCAUUUGAAAUGUUCUUUCCUGUGUGUUCAGCAGUGUGCAUUUGAUAAUUACCCAUACUCAAGAGAAAGGUUAGAAGUGAGAGCUCGAUUAUGGAAUCCAACAGUCUAGAUCUGGCAUGAUCAGGAAUUCAUUUUAUGCCAAAAUAACACGUGAUUUCUUACACAUUAUUUUGUUGAUCAUGAUAAGAUCCAACAUGCGUACUAUCAGAAGUUAUACUUUUCUGUUAGAAAAAAUAUUGCAAGAGCUUUUUACCAUAUAUACUAGUGAAAUACUACUGGGUUAAAAUCUGUCGAAUGCAGUUAUCUGUACAGGAUCUUCAUAUGCAGUUAUUGGAUAUUAUUUUAAUUGUUUUGUGAUAGAUUGAAAUUAUCCAAGACUACAAAGCAGUUCUCAUAUUGAUUGUGCUUAAAGGCCCAGUGCAGUCAAAAACUAGAUUGCCCUGUGUUUUAUAUAUAUUUCCACACUAUGAGGUUGGAAUAAUACUGUGAAAUUGUGAAAAUUAUGAUAAUGCCAUUUUAGUGUAAAAGCUGUUUGAAAAGACUGCCUGAAAUGUCAUCCUGUUUUGGUAGGAUGGUGUUUUGGCCCUCCAUGGUGACAUCCCCAUGUGGUAAAUUAGUUAAUAGACCAAUAAGAAAGACAUUUCCCAAAAACUCGCCUACUCAGACCACUCCCAGACAGUCCUAGCAAAACUCUUGCUUGAGAAAUUUACCUUAGCUAUUUGUAUUUAUUUUUUGACUAUUUUAUUGAAAACAAUCACAGUAAGGUACUUAAUUGUUACCCAGAAAUAAUUUGAUACUAAGAUACAAAUUCCUGCAUUGGACCUUUAACAUUUUAUGUUGAAUUAUGAGUUUGUAUUCCAAAUACUUCAUUACAAAUUAUAUAACCAGCUUGUCAACUAAGAGUUAAAAGACUAGCCAGAGACAAAAUGUUUGAUGAUUUUUCCUGGAGUCGUUAUGGUUAGCUUUUUGCAAAUGUGUAGUAUUUGAAUACGUUUUAUCAAGCAAAGUUAUGAACGUAUCACAAUGCUUUACAAUUCUGUAUGAAGCCUGCAAAUGACAUGGCGGCUCCGCCAUUUUGUUCAACAUUUCCUUGGAUGUGACUGAGGGACUGAAUCUGUAUUCUCGCGUUGAUUGCCAAGCCACAAUAACAGACAUGUUAGUUAGUGUUCUACUCUGAUCAUGUUCUCCUUCACCCUCCUCUCACGGUGGAUUUGUAGCAUUGCAAAGCAUAACCAGGAACAUAGCUUCGACUAACAGGUUGGAUAUUUACUUGAUUAACCAUUUUAAUCUAAGUUGAUAUUAUCUAAAGUUAAUACUGAGUAAGAUGCAUAGCAUACAGUAGCAUAUCAUAUUUAUUAACAAUACGGUUAAACAAUCCCUUCAAAUACUACGGUCGGAAUAGUUACAUUUACCUCCCUGUUCUUCCUCCAAGCUUUUUUCUGUUGUACUAGGACAUCAUUUGUUUUUAUAGCUGUAUUGUUUGCCAAAGUUCUUAUGCACACCUGUGUACGGUUGCGUUCCUUAAAAUAUAUCUUAGUUGAAACAUAACUUCAUGAAAACCUGCGAUGUUAACAUUUCUUAAUUUAUUAUUUGAAAAGUGUUUAAAGAAAGCAUGGUUGGGGUCAUAUACAAAUAUAAAACACAACGUAUAGAUAAAAUAAAAGUGCAUGUAAUUAAUUACAGACAAAGGCAGCCCAAGUAGAGGAGAGGGAAGCGAGGUAGAGGCACACAGUGGUAAAAAUUGGCAGGCCACCCAAAACCAAAACCCUAUCCUCAAGUGAACUUGUUGCAAACGCUAAGUGCUACAUGCACGCUAAGCUAAAUGAUAACUACAGACAGUUCCAAACCAACCAUCUCAAACAAAUUCAUAGUUACAUGUCCAUUUCUCCUACAUCCUCUACAGAAACUGAACAGGGCUGUGCAUACAAUAAAAUACACAAUAAUAAUAUACAUCUACAGUAGCCACAAACUGUAUGUGUCAAUGUAUAUGCUUAAAACCAAAGACGUGGAUUUUUUAAUUGGCUAAAACACAUGGCGAGAUGUGACGUGAGGCUACACUGCUUUGGAUGGGGUUCUAGGGAUCUACUGAAGCUCAGACAGGCACAUCCAACCCAGUGUAUCUCGUUUUUAAUAAGAAGACUGUAAAGACUGCUAAUAACGCCCUAACUCAGCUGGACCAUUUCGUCAGUAAGUAAACACAAAGAGUGUUUUUUUGGUUCCUGCUAGCGGCAGGUCCAUUUAAUGUAGCCACCUGUGUCUUAUCGAAAGUUGUUGUGAAGAGAGGAGGAGAGGAGAGUGGAGAGUCCUCGGAGUAAGCGAGCGGAGGAACCGGUUGUCUGUUGCCGUGCUGUUCUAGCGAGGGAGCCAGCAAGGAACGAACGGGUGGUUACGUUAGGAAAGUGCUCCUCAAAGACCCACUCUGCAGAUGAGAUGAGAGCCCAAAACAGGAACAGUCAUGUUGGCUAGUCCCGUCUGAGCUAACCUAACAGCACGAUGUCAUCCACAAAGCAACAGAAAGUUACACACAGUUAAAGAAGCAAAAGAGUAGUUUCCCCCACCUUUUUCUCUGCUAGGCAUGCAAUCUCCUGCUAUACUUUUCAUCUGGCAUUAAAGACAUGAGGCAUCAAAAUAAAUCCAGAACAGGAGACAUGCAGAGAUUUGACCCUUUUUCCUUUUUCUUUCUUUCUUUUCAGAGCUGCUGAUACUUCGGGGCAGAGAGGGGAAAAAAGUUCAAGCGUGUGAGCCCAGCCUUUGCCGUUAUUUGGAACCAGAGCCAAAAGAGGCAGGAAGUUGUUUUACAAUAGUGUUAUAGUAAUCUGCCACAAAUGGGGAAAGCCAAACGCUGGUCGCAGAGUGGAGAAGGUGGUGGGACAGAGAGAGGGAGGGAAAGAGGAAGUAUGAAAAAGACAGAGAUAGAAAAAAUGAAAAUCAAAAUAAUAAUCGGUAUGUACUAAGAUGGUGGAGGACUGGUCUGCCAUGCUGUUUUGUAGUGUGUGUGUGUGUGUGUGUGUGUGUGUGUGUGUGUGUGUGUGUGUGUGUGUGUAUGCGUGCGCAAACAGCAGGGUGUAGGGAGGGUGGAGCGCGCCACAAUGCAGGAUUCUAGAUGAUUCCAGGGUAAGGGAUAGUUUAGAAGCAAAUAUACUCAACAAUCUUUUCCUAUUUGGACAAGGUAUCCUGUGCCUUUUUACCCAGAACCCCUCGUGUUUUCUGUGAAUUCUCAAUCACGUUGUAAUCACAGUAGCUGUUUUUCUUCUAGUAAAGCAGUGAGGUCUCACCCAAAACGCUUAUCAGGCUUUUUACUCCUUGCCAAAAUAGCUGUAAGGGUCGUGCGAUGUUUAGCCCCUCGGAGAAGCAGAGCCAGGGCAGGAAGAGGACAGUCUUACUGUACUGUACUGUAACUCUACUAACCCCGCUCUCUACCCUGCCACGUGCUACACUACAGUAUUAUACUCAAGUAGCUCCCAUUUUUCCAUAUCUGCUUUUUGUCUUCUCAAUGCUGCUUUCACGCUAGCUGCUGUGGCAUGCUAAAGAGCUGAUACUUUCUGUCUGUGAGCCAUGGCUUGCUGUAGAAUGUGAUCCAGACAGACUGUUGCAGCUUGACGAGAGAGAGAGCUACAGUACUGUACUGUACUGUACCAGAUAAGGUUAAUCAUUUAACCUGCUCUCAGAACUGUUGCAUAUUUCAAAUGUCCUUAGGCAGGGCAGUCCACUCUGAGUGUUUGUACAUUCUCUUUAUUUCGUUUCCUUAUUUUUUAUGCUCUGUUCUCUAGCUGAUUGCCGGGGUGCGGAGAGUGCUAGUAUGGCGUGAGUGCGUGCACUGCGUCUGCGCACUGCCGGAGGAGUGCAUUUCUGUGUCAUUCUUCCUCCUCUACCCCCUCCCACCCUCGACUGCUUUCCGCCCUCCUACUCUCCCCUGUCUCUCUCUCUCUCUCUUUCCCUCUUGGUCGCCGUCUCCCACCCUUCUCUCUCCCUCCUCCCUCUCUCAAGUGCAUAUACAGUUCCUUGCCGUGUUGGAUGUGUGAUGAAAAAGUGUCUGUCUCUCGUGCUCCGCCGCACCUCCUAUUUCAUCAUCAGUAGAGCUUUUCUCUCCUUCACUCUGAGCUUGCUGCCUCGUCUCUUCUAUCGCUCGCUCCCCUGUUCUCAGCUCCAGCCGCACGCAGGGGGGAGACUCGAGCUCUGUGGGGAGAAAAAAAGAACAAAGGUUUGCUGCUAUUUCUACAGUCAGGGCCUCCCCACAGCCCGCCCUUCCAUAGAGGAGUUUUUUUUUUUUUUUUUACUACUAGCUGGAUUUUAACCCUCUGCCUCCAAAUAUCUACACAACGGCUCUGCAAAAAGCUGGCAACAAGUAGCUUUUUUUGGGGCCUUUACGUAGUUUUGUGCGGCAAUUUUUGCAUCAGUUUGGAUCUUGGUGUUAUUUCUUUUUUUUGGGUGUUAUUUUUUCAUCUGCAUUAAUUCCCAGAGUUUUAUAUUUCUCUUUGAAAGAGUUUGGCGGUGUUUAUUUUCAAUGUGUUAUUAUUUUUGUCGUCGUUUGGUCGUGUUUGUAUCUCGCCACGUGACGAGCCUUCUUCCUCCUGGAGCUGUGUACGUACGGGCGUCAUUCCUACUGGAGAUGUGGAUCCAGCGUGGAAAAAAGAGAGGAAGAGAGAAGCUGCUCAGAAUUUCACCCCCGGAUUCGGAACGUUUCGGAAUUGCCUCUACUGCAGAAUAUUUGCUGCAUGACUGACUCAGACCUUGGCCGAUGGCGCGGGACUUUUGGCCAAUCAGAGAACCCCAUGGUCAGACAGACGGACAGCCCUAGCAGUAAGUAACUUAUUGUAAGCUAUUUUAUUAUACAAUUUGUAAUAUAUCAUAUCGUAUAGAUUUGGAUUUGUUUAGUAUUUAUGACUGCCUCAUCUUAAUUUGAAAUAGCAAUUAGCAAGUGCAGGUGGCUAAAACACACAAACACACACACACACCACACCGUACCUAAUCUUCAGAAUCCAUUGGGGCAUAAAAAGUUCUGUGUCUAGCCAAUCAGUGCUAUCUCUCUCCUGUGCCUGAAACCGUUACAAAAUGGUGUCCGCUCUCUGCCUUCAGCUCCCUCCAGCCCCCUGCAGCUCUCCCAUCCAUUUUGUGUGUCUCUGCCAAAGUAGUCAGGUAGGAGGAAGAGAGGAGAGAAAGAGAGAGAGAGAGAGAGAGAGAGAGAGAGAGAGAGAGAGAAGUUGUCCAGAGAGAGAGUAAAAGUGAAGGGAUGGGGUAGGCUAGAUGGGGCAUAGAGAAGAGGGCAAUAGUCCAGAGGAUAUUGGGUGGAGAGAGAUAUGUUAAUGUACAGUGACAGGUAGGAAUACAGAAUCUGCUCUUUUCUUAUUUGGAGGUUUAAUUGUUGCCGACUGACUGACUGACUGCAUACAAAAACAGCCUUGAAGACAGCGCCGCUGGACCCUUCCCAGCUCCUCUUCUCAAAGAGCUGACCUUGGGCGGACGCCAUAAACUGUUAUUUUCCAUUGGCCCAAAAUGUGAUGCUGGCAAGGCCUGCAGCUGCACCCCCCCACCUCACCCCACCCCAGCCCCCUCCGUGCCCCGCCCUGGCUCGACUCCCCCAGCAAGUCUGUGCCUGGCCUGACCCGUAACACAACCUGCCUGGCCUGCUUACGGUGCAGAAGAGCCGGGGCCGCCCGAGCUCUAUCCAAUGCCCCUACCGUUUCCCCAGGCCUAACUCCAACCUCAGCCCCAGUUCCAGCCCCAUGCCCCAUCCUCAGCCAAGCCUCCAGCCCCAGCUCCAACCCUGACCCCAACCUCAGACCCACGCUAAGCCCCAAGCCUCCAAUCCUUAGCCAGUACUGCCCGCGGCUCUGGAAUUCUGCACAUGCCAGGCAUUCGAUUAGACAGACAUAAUAGACAUAAUAGUGUAUAGAUCCCAUGCUGCCUGGCCAUACUACCACGGCUAUAUGGAUAAGGGACAAGGCUUCAAAGACCCAUGGUCUUUAGCUAUGCUAAACUAACUGUGCAUCAUUCCUUUAUUAGCAAUGUUAGCAAACUCAGAUAUUGCCCCCUUUUUAGCAAUGUGGGAAUCUAUAGCCUACAGGCUACCAGUAGACCCACAUAGACUCAACAGAAGGCUGUUGAACACUGUUCAGACAGUCAACACCUCCAUAGCUCAGUUCUUUCGUCCUCUCUCUCUCUCUCUCUCUCUUUAAUAUCCUUCCUCUAAUCUGCCCAUGUGCUCCAGUAUGGCACAGAACAGCCUACAUAUUGUAUUUGUGGUAAUGAAUUAUAGAUGAUAUUGCAUAACCGUUCCCGUUAUAACCUUAUCUGUGAAUCAUCUACCCAGAGACAUGCAGCAUGGAUACAUUGCUUGCAGUCUAGACCAGACCUUGUGGAAAUGAUACUGUGAAGUUGCCUGGCCUCUGGUGGGCCUGCGUUUGUUUAUGGUUACACACAAAGCAGAUGGCCGCGCAACAUGGUCGCAUAUCUCACACUAACACUCGCUGACACUGCCACAAGCACACACACUCACCCACGCACACACUCACACUCUCGCACACUCACGCGCCUGAGGAACAAUCGAGGUGGACUCGUGAGCUAUUUAUUUGAUCUCUGAUCUCUCUUUCUAUUCUCCCGUUAUCAAUGGGUUUUAUGAUUGUCCCAUAUGACUCAUGAGGAUACUUAACCUGAGUAGCUAGCUAGCAUUGACAACAGUGGUUUACAUGGCAGACCUGAUCCUGUCAAGGGCUCAAAUGGUAAAGUACAGCAGCUAACUGUAGCUAACUGUAUGUAAGUUAACUGUAUGUCGGCUAUAGUUAACAUUAGCUAUUUGUAGCUAACAGUACAAUAGAUAACUGUACAGUAGUAGCUAGCUGUAUCAUAGCUAAAUGUACAGUAGCUAACCAUCCUAGCUGCUAACCUGUUCAUCAAAGUUACUGUAUAUACUGUAGCCCCCUGUCCUCCCACUCUCUCAGCCAGUUCAGAGCCAGGGAGAGAGAGGAGAGGAGAGGUAUGUGUCCCACCCUCUAUUAAUAGAUCUACGACAGAUGGAGCUCUGUGAAGGCAGGGCAUUCCGCGGCAGGCGCUAGUCUCGUCAGAUGGCCAGGGGCUGGGGCACCGUCAGAUCGAGGGGUGCAGGGGGGACAGCCAGAGUGGAGGGAUGGACGUGUCAGAACUGUUGACUUGUCUUAAUGGAGGGGGGCCCUCUGGGUCACCAGGAAGAUGCAUGGCUCCAUCAGCGCUUCUGUUAGCAUGGUGGCUAGUGGGUAUUAGUGGGACUAUGGCCAUUACUGAGACGAAGGACAAAGGGGCGAUAAGACUUGAGGAGUGAGUAGAACAGGAGCCAUAAAGCAGGUGGGCAGAAGAGUAUUUGGGGUCAUAUUGCUGAUCACACAGUCCCUGUACAAUAGUUAGCCUGGAGGCUACAGUUAUGGCUGGGCUUUCUGGAUUAUUUUUGAGAGAGGACAAAAUGCCAUGUUUCUCUGUGCUGUAGAAUUGGGAAAAUCACAUUUCUAUCACGUUUGUGUUUGUGUGUAUAUGUGUGUGUGUGUGUGUGUGUGUGUGUGUGUGUGUGUGUGUGUGUGUGUGUGUGUGUGUGUGUGUGUGUCUGUCUGUCUGUCUGUCUGUCUGUCUGUCUGUCUGUCUGUCUGUCUGUCUGUCUGUCUGUCUGUCUGAGGCCAUUUUUCUUCUCUAAAGAUGAGGUUGGUGCUAGGUCAGCUAAUGUUGGUUAAUUCUGCUUCCAUACAGGCCAUGUUAACGAGGAUUUGCUAUGUGCUAGAUUAUCACAAGAUAUUUUCUAAUCAUACAGUCAACAUGCACAGCUGAAUAUCACUCCAUAGACAGACACACAUGCACAGCAUACACACCAGGACACCUCUCAAGGCCAUAUCAGCACCAGAGGUUAUAGGGAGGUCAGCUUGUCUGACUUUGACCAGAACCCCCCCCCCCCACCCCCCCCAGCCCAUGUGUAACUGGACCUGGUCUGCCAACCUGCUCCCUGCUCUAUGCGUCUCCCUCUCUAAACCUGGUAUGAAUAGAUGUCCAUGCCUACUCCCUCCGUUAACCCAGGGGGCUAAGAAGCCAUGCUUCCCUUUUUAAACGCUCUGACGUGUCUGUCUGGAUACCUCCUGUCUGCACCUGGCUACCUCUCUGGGCUACACACACACACACUGAUAGAGACACAGACACAUAUACAGAUACUCAAACACACACACACACCGGUCUAUAGAAGCUCUGACAGGGGGAAUGCAGAGAGGGGUGUACGUUUGAGGAGAGGGUGUGUGCGUGUGUGUGUGUGUGUGUGUGUGUGUGUGUGUGUGUGUGUGUGUGUGUGUGUGUGUGUGUGUGUGUGUGUGUGUGUGUGCGUGUGUGUGCAUGUGUGCAGGCAUGUAGGGAGGUACUGUGCACAGUAUGGAGGGCAGGAAGGUCUGUAAGCCUCUGUCUGUAGACAGCCACUGCUUAUAACUAACUAUAAGUUAAGUAUAACUAUAUGUGUGUGUGCAUGUGUGUAGGGAGGUACUGUGUACAGUAUGGAGGGCAGGAAGGUCUGAGCCUCUGUCUGUAGACAGCCACUGCUUAGGUUAAGUAUAACUAUAAGAACUCUAAGAUGUGUCAAAUAAAUGAUAUGCAGCUCAGGCCUCCAGCUAUGCAUUUGGUUUGCUAACUUACUAAGUGGUUAGAUGUCAAGAUCAAGCUUCUUGGUUACAGCAGAGACAUUCAAUCCCCUCCUGGAUCAAGAUCCCUGUUUCCUUCAUAGUUUUGUGCAGUUUUUAAAAAAUGAAAUAGCGCCCCCUGUUUGCACAUUAGGUAAUACCUAAUAUGGUACAGAAACGGUAUGAUGGUAUGAAAAUCUGAACCCUAGUGCGGGCGUGCGUGUGUGUGGGUAUGUGUGUGUUUGCGUCUCACUGGAUGUUGUCAGCUGGUCCAUGUUCAAAGGAAUUCCUUUACCAGCAUAGUGUCAACUAUGGAUCAUAAUUCUACAGCCAUCUGCCAUAUUAGAAGAUAAUGUUGAAUCAGCAAGCUAAGGUCAAGUGUUUUCACCUUGUGAACCAAGACCGCUCCUUUCCAGUAAACAUGUAUUAUAGUGUGUGUGUCCAUGUGUCUGUGUGUCCAUGUGCGUCCAUGUGUGUGUUUGUACCUAGAAGCCAAGCCUCCAGUGAUCCACUUACCAGAACAGUAAGCAAAGCUAUAUUUAAUAAUGCAGGCAACAGAAUCCUCCUUACUACUGAGCCGACACAAUGGGCCUCUCAAGACUCUCUGUACUCUCCUCUCCUGCUCCUAGGGGAUAAAGCAGCAGAGGAGCACUAUCCAAUGUGAUUGAAUGACUUGACAGCAGGCACUGUGAAGUGAAUGAGAGAAUGUAUGUGCGUACUUGGAUGCAUACUUCUGCAUCAACACACCAAUUGCAUUUUCUUUUCAUUUCACCAGGCAGUUGAUUGAGGGAAAAACUAAUUUACAACAAUUACCUUGUUCUUACAUUUGGUUGCAAGAAGCCAAAUAUCAAGUUUAAGUUUUCCCCUUUCUACAAGUAAUAGAUUUUUCCUCUUGGGUCCUUUUAGAUGCUGCUACCUGACAAGCUGCUUAGAGCCUGAUGGAGAGAGGAGGAGGAGGUGAUAGGCCAGUGUUUUCCUCUCUCUCUCUCUCUCUCUCUCUCUCUCUCUCUCUCUCUCUCUCUCUCUCUCUCUCUCUCUCUCUCUCUCUCUCUCUCUCUCUCUCUCUCUCUCUCUCUCUCUCUCUCUCGCUCUCUCUCUCUCUGCAUGUUAAGGAGCAGGUGAGAAACAUUAACAGCAGCAGCUGCACUUUUCUGCUGCUGCGCUGCUCUGCACACAUGUGGUUCAGGAUAUUCACCACACUGUCUAUCUGUCUGUCCACCAGUGUUAACACACUCCUCUCUGGGAUAUGCCUAGUGUAUACCAGGAAGACAUUUAGGACAGGACUAGCACAUUAAGUCUAGUCCUGUACUCAAUAGCUCUUUCAAUGGAGGUUCUCUAUAAGGAUGUUUUUUAGUCCUGGAUUACACUUAUUCUUUGUCUGGAAAGCUGUCCAAUUGAGUAACAGAGUUACACUUCAGACAAUCCCAGUAUCUCUGUGUCAGACUGCUUGGAGGUGAAUGAUUCUGGGAUUGUGUGUUCAUGCUUCAAUCCUAACCAUUGUUCUGUGUCUUCUGAGGUGUGUUGCAGCUGUCUUUCUCUGGUACAGGACUACACACGCCCCCUUGGUGACCGACUGUCUUUGCCCCAAACUACUUUCAGUAACCAUCUCUGUCGGUCUCUCCAUUUGUACUUACAUCUGUCCUGUCAAAAAAAAAACUAGAAAUGACAUCUGAUCUCCUUUAAAAAAAAUAAAAAACAAGUUGUCUUCCUGACCUGGUUGACUGGGACCAAGGUACUGGAGUGCCAGUGUAGACCGCCGGGUCUAUGAUGGUCCUUUGGGGUGAGGUAGUAGGUUGUAUAGUUUUAGGGUCAUACCCUUCCUGUCAGAUAACUAUACAACUUACUGUCUUUCCUGAAGUGGCUGUAAUAUCAUCCAUCAUCUCUGCAGCGCACUUACAACCUAGACCUCGAUGGGAAUAUGUACUAUGAACCAAUUAAAGUUGAUAACAUGUUUGUAAUGUCAUUUAUAUGGUAUCUAUGCAUCAUUUGGUUCUGUUUUGGUAUGGCUCUUUGUUCAUUUCAAUACUUUUGUUUGUAUGAUGUAGUUAUUAUUUUGCCAUGAAAGUGAUCUUGCCUCUCUGAUGUUCGCACGGGGUGAGGUAGUAGGUUGUGUGGUUUCAGGGUAGUGAUUUUGCCCCAUCAGGAGAUAACUAUACAACUUACUGCCUUCCCUGAAGGGCAGCAAUACUACACCAGACAACUGCAGAGGGCGCUGUUGGCACCACAUGAUAAUCUAGCAUUGGAACGAGGUCAUCUAGCUUUUGAUCAGCUACAGAGGUGACUGCAGCGUUUCAGGUAAAGUCUACUGACAAUCUAGUAUUACGAUGUAGCUACCAUGUUUUUUGAUCACUUUGAAAUUGUUUUUAUUCAAAUAAGUAAUAAAAAUUAUUAUUUUAUAAAUGUCAACUGUCUGUACUUCGUCUUUCACUUAGCUGUGUUUGGAUUUAAGAAUCAUAUGAAACUCUUCAGCAGAGGAUAGACAGUACUCUAGCUCCCUAGUCCUAGCCAACACCGCAGAGAGAUAGAGAGGAGAUGGAGUGUGUUUGCCAGUCAGUAUCGGGCCAAUAUGGGUUUCAGACGUGCCUUACUGUCUAGGACUGCAGUCUGUCUGCUGUAUCUCAUAGCAAGGACAGAUAGAUUUAUUGCCCUGGCUGGUUCAGGUUCACACUGGGACCUUCACAUUAUUGCCUGGCCGGACCAUGAGCAGCUCACAGGCAGAUAGCUGUAGCUCUUUCCUUGGUCUCAUGGGUGGAAUGUUAUUCAUCUAUUUCAUUAUUAAUAAAGAUUAUACAUUUUUUAAACAUCUAAAAUCUGGUGUUUCUAUGUCAAACAGUUUUGUUCCAUUUCAGUCUUGCGUGAUAUAUAUAUAUAGGGAUGCGAAAUUAAAAUGAAAUAAAUAUCAAGUCUAUGUCUGA